rnacentral:rRNA from 1 species
UACGUAGGGUGCAGGCGUUAAUCGGAAUUACUGGGCGUAAAGCGUGCGCAGGCGGUUUGUUAAGACAGGUGUGAAAUCCCCGGGCUUAACCUGGGAACUGCGCUUGUUACUGGCAAGCUGGAGUGUGGCAGAGGGGGGUGGAAUUCCACGUGUAGCAGUGAAAUGCGUAGAGAUGUGGAGGAACACCGAUGGCGGAAGGCAGCCCCCUGGGCUAACACUGACGCUCAUGCACGAAAGCGUGGGGAGCAACAGG